rnacentral:tRNA from 1 species
AGGGGUAUAGCUAAGGGUAGAGCAUUCGACUGCAGGUCCCCGGUUCAAAUCCGGGUGUCCCCU